UGGCGUAGAAAGAGCAGAAUUUCUUCUGAAGCAAGCACUUUAUGAAGAUGAAAGGGGCAGACCUAAUGAUGCACUGCCACUGUAUACUGAUGCAGCAGCACUCUGCAUCAAAACAAGCAGUGGCCUAUCAGAUGAUGAUGACUUAAAGAAAAAACUUCAUCAUCUAGCUAAACAGGCAAUAGAAAGAGCUGAAGCAAUAAAAGGAAUUUUGAACAAACCUGGAACCUCAACAUCAGGGUCAGCAUCAGUAACCAAAGGUGUAAAAGACCUCUCUCUGAGGUCCUCUGGAGAGUCCACCCCUGGGGGUAGUACUGGGGACAAAAGACCUCAUCUUACUGCGAAGGAGCUGGAUGUCUUAAAGAAAACAUCCUACAUAAAUGGCAAGCUGUUCCCCCCAUGGCUGGAUAUUGAUCUGAAGGAAAGAUUUGCUUAUCCCGAUUAUUACAGG